rnacentral:rRNA from 1 species
AUGCCUUUGCCACAAAAUUCUGUUCUUGGGGCUAAAGAUCUGCCAAGGGCCAUGCUUAGCGAUCAUAUAGAAGAACAACUCUUUAAACGGCUCAAUGAAGAGAGACACGAACGGGCUAUUCAUGAUGGGAAAAGUUUUGAUGAGGUUAGUGCUGCCUCAUCAAUUUACAGAAUCUUACGUUUAUGGAUCCUAUGUUUUCUUUUUCUUGUUUAUAUCUUGGUUUCCUUUCCUGAAUAUGAAAUAUGUGGUUUGUGUACUUCUUAUAAACAGAGAUGUGUUGCUCCUUCUGCAUACUUUUAUUCUUUUUUUCAGAAUUGA